GGAGGGGUGUCAGAGCGGACGAAUGAGACGGUCUUGAAAACCGUUAGGGCCGACCAGCCCUCGUGGGUUCGAAUCCCACCCCCUCCGCCA
rnacentral:tRNA from 1 species